CAUGUACUAGAUCGACUAGAUAUAUCUAGAUCUAGAUCUAAACCUGAAAAUCAACUCAGACAUUGGUCUACGAUUGUAAUUCAACUCAACUACGAGAACUUCUACUUCCCCUCCAUCAUCAGCCAAACCGUUAGAUCUAUAUAUAUAUAAUCUCCAUUGAAGUCUAAGAAUUCCUCGUCCAAUGAUGAUCCCAGCACUGGCCCGUGCGUCUCUUCACCGGCCACCUUCCCAGUCGCUGCUACAGUUGGAGCCUCGCUGUCAGAAAAUGGGAGGACCAGAGACAGUUUCCAACAGUUCACAAGACUCUUUAAACAACUGCUAAAACUACCAAAGGAUGGCACUUGUACAUUUUUACUCCUACAUAAAAUUGUUUGAUCAUUCUGAGAUAGUGCAGUCUAGGGUCUAUCCCACACUGUUCUCAGAUAAUGUAUGCGAAUGUUUGUGAAAGAUUGUGUUUUAGAUUUAUUUGAAUAAACUUCAAGACAGGACUUAACAGAAGUUG
rnacentral:lncRNA from 1 species